UACGGAGGAUGCGAGCGUUAUCCGGAUUUAUUGGGUUUAAAGGGUGCGUAGGCGGUUUUUUAAGUUAGUGGUUAAACGUCGGGGCUUCACCUUGAUUUGCCAUUAAUACUGUAAGACUCGAGUUCAGACGAGGUAGGCGGAAUAAGUUAAGUAGCGGUGAAAUGCUUAGAUAUUGCGCAGAACUCCGAUUGCGAAGGCAGCAUACCGGCGGCGAUCUGACGCUGAGGCACGAAAGCGUGGGGAUCGAACAGG
rnacentral:rRNA from 1 species